AAGUCUGACGGAGCAACGCCGCGUGAGUGACGAAGGCCUUCGGGUCGUAAAGCUCUGUUGUUAGGGAAGAACAAGUACCGUUCGAAUAGGGCGGUACCUUGACGGUACCUAACCAGAAAGCCACGGCUAACUACGUGCCAGCAGCCGCGGUAAUACGUAGGUGGCAAGCGUUGUCCGGAAUUAUUGGGCGUAAAGCGCGCGCAGGCGGUCUCUUAAGUCUGAUGUGAAAGCCCACGGCUCAACCGUGGAGGGCCAUUGGAAACUGGGGGACUUGAGUGCAGAAGAGGAGAGUGGAAUUCCACGUGUAGCGGUGAAAUGCGUAGAUAUGUGGAGGAACACCAGUGGCGAAGGCGGCUCUCUGGUCUGUAACUGACGCUGAGGCGCGAAAGCGUGGGGAGCAAACAGGAUUAGAUACCCUGGUAGUCCACGCCGUAAACGAUGAGUGCUAGGUGUUGGGGGGUUCCACCCUCAGUGCUGAAGUUAACACAUUAAGCACUCCGCCUGGGGAGUACGACCGCAAGGUUGAAACUCAAAGGAAUUGACGGGGGCCCGCACAAGCAGUGGAGCAUGUGGUUUAAUUCGAAGCAACGCGAAGAACCUUACCAGGUCUUGACAUCCUCUGCCACUCCUAGAGAUAGGACGUUCCCCUUCGGGGGACAGAGUGACAGGUGGUGCAUGGUUGUC
rnacentral:rRNA from 1 species